rnacentral:rRNA from 1 species
UACGUAGGGUGCAAGCGUUAUCCGGAAUUAUUGGGCGUAAAGAGCUCGUAGGCGGUUUGUCGCGUCUGCUGUGAAAACUGGAGGCUCAACCUCCAGCCUGCAGUGGGUACGGGCAAACUAGAGUGCGGUAGGGGAGAUUGGAAUUCCUGGUGUAGCGGUGGAAUGCGCAGAUAUCAGGAGGAACACCGAUGGCGAAGGCAGAUCUCUGGGCCGGUACUGACGCUGAGACGCGAAAGCGUGGGGAGCAAACAGG